rnacentral:rRNA from 1 species
AGAGGACUAUCAAACUCCAGUCAGUAAACGUUGCAGUCUGAAAAAAAUAUUAAAUAAACUAAAACUUUCAACAACGGAUCUCUUGGUUCUGGCAUCGAUGAAGAACGCAGCGAAAUGCGAUAAGUAAUGUGAAUUGCAGAAUUCAGUGAAUCAUCGAAUCUUUGAACGCACAUUGCGCCCCUUGGUAUUCCGGGGGGCAUGCCUGUUCGAGCGUCAUUUCAACCCUCAAGCUCUGCUUGGUAUUGGGCACCGUCCUUUGCGGGCGCGCCUCAAAGACCUCGGCGGUGGCGUCUUGCCUCAAGCGUAGUAGAAUACACCUCGCUUCGGAGAGGAAGGCGUCGCCCGCCGGACGAACCUUCUGAACUUUUUCUCAAGGUGACCUCGGAUUCAGGAAGGGUACC